rnacentral:rRNA from 1 species
UACGAAGGGGGCUAGCGUUGCUCGGAAUCACUGGGCGUAAAGGGUGCGUAGGCGGGUUUUUAAGUCAGGGGUGAAAUCCUGGAGCUCAACUCCAGAACUGCCUUUGAUACUGAAGAUCUUGAGUCCGGGAGAGGUGAGUGGAACUGCGAGUGUAGAGGUGAAAAUUCGUAGAUAUUCGCAAGAACACCAGUGGCGAAGGCGGCUCACUGGCCCGGUACUGACGCUGAGGCACGAAAGCGUGGGGAGCAAACAGG